GAUGAACGCUAGCUACAGGCUUAACACAUGCAAGUCGAGGGGAAACGAUGAGAGAGCUUGCUCUCUUAGUCGUCGACCGGCGCACGGGUGAGUAACGCGUAUCCAACCUGCCUCUGACCAAGGGAUAACCCGUCGAAAGUCGGACUAAUACCUUAUGCAGUCGUCGGAAGUCAUCUGAUGACGACGAAAGAUUUCAUCGGUGAGAGAUGGGGAUGCGUCUGAUUAGCUUGUUGGCGGGGUAACGGCCCACCAAGGCGACGAUCAGCAGGGGUUCUGAGAGGAAGGUCCCCCACAUUGGAACUGAGACACGGUCCAAACUCCUACGGGAGGCAGCAGUGAGGAAUAUUGGUCAAUGGGCGUAAGCCUGAACCAGCCAAGUAGCGUGCAGGAUGACGGCCCUAUGGGUUGUAAACUGCUUUUAUGCGGGGAUAAAGUGAGGGACGUGUCCUUCAUUGCAGGUACCGCAUGAAUAAGGACCGGCUAAUUCCGUG
rnacentral:rRNA from 1 species